CCAGUACUCCUCUCUUGGCAUAAUAAAGAAAUGAGAAAAUAAGAAAGAAAAAAGAAACAAAGAUUUUGCUUUGUUAAUGGUUAAUAAGGAAUGAGCUAAUUUUUGGCAUUUUGAAAAACAUAGCACUCAGUAGAUAUUAAAAAGCUCCAAGAAGUAUCUGACAAGAGAUACAACGGAAAGCAAGUGGAGCAGCAACCUGCACAUAAUUAUUAACUACAGGCAGCCCCUUCAGGGAUGUAAAAUAGUGUUGAAAUGAUAGAACUCAGCACAAGGAUAGCACAUAAAGUGAGAAACCGUCCAAUUUAUUAAUUGCAGGCAGCCAGUAGCCAAACGCAUGUUUCUGUCCCCAUGUACAACUACUACUACUUUGUUUUGUUAAUUCAGCUAAAGAACCAACACUUGGACUUAAGUAUUGUUGUCAACUUCCAAAUGAGAGAGAGAAGUACAAUUAGAUAUUUCAGGAGGUAUAAUACAUGAUAACUGAUUGACACUCAACUGCAACUCCUCAAGACCUAAAAUGCCACCCAAACUAGUAGGAAUGCUACCUGUUAAAAGAUUCUCAGAUAAAUCAAUAACUGUAAGAGCUUUGCAAUUUCCAAGCUCAUUAGGAAUCACACCAACUCCUACUUUAGAUUUGAUAUCAUGAAGUAAUAACAUUAAGUAUACAGCAGAUUCUUCUUGUACAAGAACUAGAUAUUCUCGGCUCCUGAGAUCAUAUUAAGAUACAGAUGAUUGGAUAGAGGAGCAAUGACUUAAAAUGCAGCUAAAUACAAGCCACAAAAUACAGUAAGCACAAUAGCAUCUAGGCUACCAUAUGUUAAAAUGCAAACUAAACAGAGAAGAUCGAUCGAGUAACAGAGAAAUAAAUUUACCUUUGAAAAAGAGACAAGUGAAGCAACAGAUCUACAGUGACACCACCUACAAAAUGGGAAAAAAAGCAUUAGAUAUGAUUUUCCAAAUAUGAGCAAAAUGAUUUCACCUCUCUGUUUCUAUAUAUGACCAAGAUUGCUUCUUUCCCUCUAAUACAAAAGAACCUCAAUGGUUGUAGCUUAUAAAAUAAUGUCAAAUAGAUGCAACAAUAAUAACAAGUGCUGAUACACAAUAGCUGACCAAUAAAAGUAACAACAGAUACAACUCUAUCAAUUCAUAAUAGCUGAACAAGUCAACAAUUUAUAGUGCCAAAGCAAAAAAACAAGAAAUUUUCAAUAUUGUUGAUCAACUAUAAGCAUAGAUACAAUUUGGUUUCUUAGACUAAAAAUGGGUUGGCAGUGGCUCUUCAAAUAUGUUCAUCUUCCCCAAUCUCAUUUUCAAUAUUGCAUUCACCUAAUACUUCAUCAAUUUCAUCCUCCCGACUCAAAAUUAGAUCAUUCACACCAUCAAAGAAUUGAUCUAAGUCUUGCACUGGAAAUGGCUCAUUCUCAGGAACUUCAUUCUCUCCUUCUCCCAUUUCAUACAAGUUUCUUGGUUUCAAGUGAACAACAGUACUCCAUCCUUUAUUCACCUCAUCAUCCAUAUAAUAUACCAUUUAAGCUUGUGAAGCUUCAAUAUAUGGUGAAUGCUCUUCACGAUCACCAAUGUGAAUCAAUUGUGAAAAAUUAACCGAAGAAAAUUCCCAUGCAUCCUUUCUAAACCCUCUAUCCCUAGUUGUGUCAGCCCAUUUACACUUGAAUAGUGUAACCCUAAAUCGAUAGUAGUUAAGCUCAAUGAUGUCUUCUAAUUUGCUAUAAUAUGGCAAAUCUGCUUGCCUCAGGUUUCCAACAGCACCACUAGCAAUACAAGAUGUGGUCGAAGUAAAAAAAAAAAACCACUGUUUUGCGUUUUCAACCCAUGCUCUCGAGUUGUUGUCCGAAAUUUGAACCCAUUGAUAUUAAAUGAUGUAAACCUUCUAGCAUAUGGUGCUGGACUAUCUGCUAAAAACUUUAGUUCAUCAGACACAGUAUUUGAAAUGUCUGGAAUAACAAUCUGAAACAAGAAUGUAAAAUGUGUUAGUCACAAAUUUAAAGUUAUAAAAUUCUAAUACAUUUGUAACCAACCUUUCGAAGAAACUAAUCAAUAAAGUCUUUACUAACUAUCUUCUCUAUCUCCGUGUUUGAAGGCUUUCGACCCUUCCACCGCCUCCGCACAUAAGCUUUAAAUUCACUACAUGAGAUUUUGAUAUAAAUAUAACAAUUAACAUAAGUUUUCAUGUAUUUAAUGCAUGUUUUAUUUUGAUUUGCCUUAAAUACUCACGUAAUGAAAUGAUUUGUGGACAAUUUAGUAACACAUAUCGAUGUGCUUGACGUUUUUCCAUAGGUGACAACUCAAAUGUUACAGCUCCUAGUCCUUUACCAACUGGUGGGAAAAUACUAGAUGAAUUCGCCGAGGCUCGAUCCAUCAGAAAAUCGUCAACACGACGUGGCCUAUUAAAUCUUGUCUCAAUCCCUUCAAUAUACUGGGAUCAAAAAGUAAGAUCCUCUUCAGCUAGAUAUCCUUCAGUUAUAGAGUCUUCUGGUUGUGACAUGUUUCGCACAUAGGAUUUGAAGUGUCCCAAAUACCUAAACAAAAGACCAAAAAUUAGUUGAUGGAUACAAAUUAACAUCUAUUCUUAAUGAACAAGCUCGAAUCAAGCAAUAAGAAAUACUGUUUACCUCUCGAUAAGAUACAUCCACCGACACUGUUGAGGUCCCCCAAGUUUUGUUUCACUAGCUAGAUGACAAGUUAAAUGAACCAUGAUUGUAAAGAAUGUAGGAGGGAAUAACAUUUCCAGGUGAUUCAUGGUGAUAAAAUACCGAGACUGGAGCCUGUCAAGGUCUAAGGGACUUAAGCUUUUGGCACAGAGUUGAUGGAAGAACAAACUCAACUCUGUUAAUACUGCAGUCACCUUGUCUGGUAAAACAUUACGUAUGGAAAUUGGUAACAAGUGUUGCAAGAGAAUGUGAAAAUCAUGACUCUUCAUUGACUUGAGCUUUUGUUGUUUCAAGUCGACACAUCUUGAAAUGUUGCUAGCGUAUCCAUCUGCCAUUUUGACAUUUUUUAAAGUCCGCAAAAAUAUGUCUUUCUUAAAUCCACUUUUCUUUGAAUUUAAAAGAGUGAACAAGGCUGGACGAUAGCUUCCAUUCUCAUCUGCCCAAAGUUCUUUCCUUAUACCCAUUUCUCUAAGAUCAUUCCGAGCUUUAAGAUUGUCUUUUGACUUUUCAGUAUCAUUGAGCAAAGUAUAUAUCACACUCCCACACACAUUCUUCUCAAUGUGCAUAAGGUCUAGAUUAUGACGCAACAAGUUAGAUUCCCAUUAAGGAAGAUCAAAAAAUAUGCUUCUCUUUCUCCACUAUUUCGGUCUAUCUUCAGCAAUAGUUUUUCCUCGAGUUCUUUACCUUUAGCAUUCGACUCAGGUACUUUCCCAAAACUAGCAUUGAUUACCUCCAUUUGUUUCAAUAUAUCUGACCCUGAUAAUGCUAUUGGUGGCUCCCGUUGCUCGAUUUUCCCAUUAAAACGGACACGCUGCAAUCUAAACGAUGGCCGCUUUCAAGAAAAUGGCGAUGACCCAUGAAACACCAUUUUUUUACUAUGCUUCAGCCAGCAAGAGUCUGUAUCAAAGUUACAUGUGGGACAAGCAAACUGAGUGUGUGUGUUCCAUCCAGAUAAGGUUCCAAACUAGGAAAAUCACUAAUUGUCCACAUCAAGGUUGCUCGCAUUUUAAAAAUUUCAUUCUUUGAAGAGUCUAAUGUCUGCACUCCAUUGUACCACAAUUCUCUCAACUCUUGGAUAAGAGGUUGUAAGUACACGUCAAUGUCAUUGUCGGGCAUUUGUUUUCCUGGAAUGAUCAUUGAAAGAAUGAAUGAAGUUUGUUUCAUGCACUCCCAAGGAGGACGAUUGUAUGGAAUAAGAACCACAGGCCAAAUACUAUAGUUUGUUGCCAUUGCUCCAAAAGGAUUGAAACCGUCACUAGCUAGGCCUAGUCGUACAUUCCGAAGAUCUACAGCAAAUUCAGGAUAAAGCAAGUCAAAUGCUUUCCAAGCUUGAGAAUCCCUUGGAUGCCUCAUCAAUCCAUCUUGGUUACCGCAGAAGAAUGCCAUCUCAUAGACUCAGCAGUUUUAGAGCACAUGAACAAUCUCUGUAGCCUUGGCUUUAGUGGAAAGUAGCACAAAAUCUUUGUGGGCUGCUUCUUUUUAUUGUCCUUCCACCUAGAUGUCUUGUACUUUUUGCAUUCUUGUAAGCCUUCGUCUUCCCCAAAAUAUACAUGGAUCUUUGUAUAAUUAAGACCAAGUUUAUUGAUGGUUUUUUUGGCCUCAUAAAAAGAAACAAGAAUCUUGGCAUCUUCAAAGGCAUCUUUUAACAAUUCUAAUAUCAUACUCAUCGUUUUGUCAGUCAUUCGACACAAACACUUGAUAUGAUACAAUUUGACUAGAAAGGACUAUUUGGAAUACUUCGCGCACCCUUCAUAUAAUGGUUGAUUGCCAUCUUCUACCAGCUCAUAGAACUAUGCAUAUUCUUCAUUAUGCCCUUCAUUAAAUGUUUCUUCACUAUUCAUAGGCUCACAAGACACACCAGGCUCAUUGACAUUGUUCCCUAUGAACCCAAAUGCAUCGUUAAUCAUGGUUGCUAUUGGAUUUUGGGGCUGCAGAGUUUCUUCUAUGACGUGUAUGCUCUGAAACGUUUGUGGCAUAGUUGCAUUUGAUUCUUCACCAUGCAAAUACCAAACUUUAUAAUUUUUUGGAAAAGGCUUACAAGUCAGGUGUUCUUCAACUACAUUUCUUCUUUGUCACUUGUUAAAACCACAUUUCGGACACGGACACUUAAUUACACGCCCAUCAAUAGACCCAUACUCAAAAGCAAAAUCCAAAAAUUUUCUACGCCCAUCGCGUAUUCAAGUGUAUUUCGUGGUUUGCUAAUCCAAGAUUUAUCAAUUGGCAUGGGUAGAAAAGAAGAUAUAAGAUAACAUCACAAUAUCAAAAUAAAAAAGCUAGUUCAUAGCCACUAUAUGAAAAUCAAAAGAAUAAUAAUCACUUAAUCACACUUUUUAACUUCUGAAGAAUAUGUAAACAGAAACCAAAGCGACAAAUAAACAAAGAAAAGAAAACUAUCACAACCAGAAUUUUCUAUUAUUCACAAAUCCGAUCCAAUUUUCAUCACCAACAACUAAGGUCCUAUACAAAAGGAUUUUUUUGACUAUCUUAUUCUGAAACUUGACAUUAGUCCCUCCGUCUAGAAGGUAGAGUUCUCUGGCCUACAUAUACAAUGCUCAGAAGCUGGUUGAUUGAUUCAGUUUGAUUAUGCAUUUUGUUAGUGGAAUUAAGUGUACAAUAUAGUAUUAUUAUAGCAAUAAAACUAUUUCCAUAAUCGCCGAAAAGUUCUCUACAAAAUACAACUCAUGAAACUUUAAUCUAGCUUAAUUUGCAGCUUCUCAGAAGUCAAACUAAGUUCCCAGACUGCAAUACAACACCAACAAAGUAAAUUUGUAAAGAACAAUUAUAGUAUAUUUUAUAUCAAUCCUUUGUAUCCGUUCCUUUAUUGUUUUCAAAUAUACCAGAAUUCCUUAAUUGUUCAGAGUGAAGUAAAAAUUGCUCACUCAAACUCUUAUAAUUAUAUCAAAAAAACUUUUUACCACAAAAGAAAGGAAUAAAAUCAGAAUCCAAAACCAAAUUAGCAAACAAAAAAAACCACAAAUCCCCCAAAAAGUGAGAAAUCAACAGCAUAGCUUAGUGACUUUCCUCAAACCUACAUACAAGCACAGUACAUAUACACAUAAACUUGAAGUUCAAUAUAUGUAAACUCAAAAGCAGACAAAAUCCAGAAUGAGACUCUUCAGUUGUCUUCUCUUGUGAAACUCAAAAGCAGACAAAAAAAAUCCUCCUCUAAAAACCAAAUCUCAGUAUAUAGGGGAAAAGGCCAAAAUUGUCUCUAUACUAUCGAAAAUUAGUCACGUUUAUACCCGUUUUUACUUUCGGUCCAAAUAUAGGCCUGCCGUUAAGAAAGUAGAUAAAAUCGUCCCUAACCCUAACGGUUGUCCAUGACUCAGCAACUAAAAUGACACCGUGGACUCCAUGUCACUAUUUAUUUUUUCUUUUGUAAUAAUAAAUAAUUAAACCCACUAAAAUUAGUCUUCUUCUUCUCUAACUUUCAAGAUUCAAGGCACAAAGAUUUAACCAAUUCUAAUUUAAAUAACAAGUUGCAGCUUUGAAUUGUUUUAGCAUUCCAAUGUCAGAUUCUUUGUUCUAUUCAGUCCAAAACAGAUGAAAAAUUCCCGAAACGAUUCUCACCCGGUUGAUUCUUCUUUGUUUGCAAAAAAAAGAUUGUUCCAUCAAGAUUUUACUAGUUUUGAUAUGUUCAAGUAGUAAAGAAAUUUUUUAGCAAAAAAAGAUUUUUUCUUUGGGUGGAAUUUUAAAGAGAAACAUGAGGUCACCGGUAAAUGGGUUUUUAUAGACGAUUUCUUUCUUCUGGAUCUAGCUCUUCUUCUUUUUGUAGAAAAGAAGUGUCACUAGCCAGUUAUGACCAGUAAAGAGGAGUGAGAGAUGGAAGAAAAGAAAGGUGAUUUUUUGAUGAGUGGCUGGUAGUAUUUAAAGAGAUGGUUUCUGUUGAAGCUUUUGGUGGAUAUUUCCGAUGAGUGAUUGCUGAUGAUUUUCUAGGUAGAGAGAAGAUGGGAUAUUUUCUUGGUGGAAGAUGGCUGGUGUUGUGGUUCAAACACUGGCUGGUAAUGAUGGAAAUUUAUGAAAUAAUUUUGUGGAGCAAGAUAAGAACCUUGAAUUUGCAGCAAUGGUGGUAUGUUGUUAGAGAAGGAGAAGACUAAUUUUAGUGGGUUUAGUUAUUUAUUAUUACAGAUGGAAAAUAAAUAGUGACAUGGAGUCCACCGUGUCAUUUUAGUUGCUGAGUCAUGGACAACCGUUAGGGUUAGGGACGAUUUUGUCUACUUUCUUAACGGCGGGCCUAUAUUUGGACCGAAAGUAAAAACGGGUAUAAACGUAACUAAUUUUCGAUAGUAUAGGGACAAUUUUGGCCCUUUUCCCCAGUAUAUAUCCAUGGCUUUUGUUCUUGACAACAGACCAAAAAUGGCUUUGCUUUUCUUGAUUUUAGCUUCUUUUGUGCAGCUCUCCUUUGGGGUUACUUAUAAGGUUGGAGAUUCAGCUAGUUGGACAACUAUUGGUAAUGUUGAUUACAAGCUAUGGGCUGCUAAUAAAACCUUUCAAGUUGGUGAUACAAUUGGUAUGUCCUUUCCUCUUCCCUUUUUCUUUCACGUUCAAUCGUUAGUCUUUUGUAUUAUGAGGAGAAGAUAUCAAACUCUUGCUUAAAACUUGAAAAAAAAAAGCUAAUUACUUGAUAGAAUAAUUAAAAUAUACUAUAAUUGUUCUUUACAAAUUUACUUUGUGGGUGUUGCAUUGCAGUCUGUUUCCCUUAAAUGUUAACUUAGUUUCCAUAAUCGCCGAAAAGUUCUCUUAAAUGUUUGUCACUUUUAAACUAAGCAAACUUUAACUAAUAUUUUAUAGUUUAUGCAUUCAGCAUAGAAGCUUUACUGGUUAUUAGCUUAUGAAGUGAAACAUACUAUUCAAUCGUGAAAAUCAUAAAGUUACUAACAGCAAAAAGCAGAAAAAUUCUAAUAUUUUUUCCUUAUGCUUUUUUCACUUAUUUAGGCUCAUCUCAGACUUCAGUCACAGACCAUUAAACUAGGGAAGGAAGGCCAAGGCAAAUAUGAAGAGUCAGAAAACAGUCAUAAACGUUAUCUUUAAAAAAAAAAAAAAGUUGCUCCAAAGAAAGGAUAAAGUUAACUAUACCUAUCAAAUAUAAUUUAGUCAACCUCGAUCCCAAUAGCUUUACCAGCUGUUUUAGAUUCCUCGGCUACCUAUCAAGGCCAUAAAUGAUGUUUAGGUUAAUAUUAGCAGAACAAAAACUAAAAAUGUCAAAAUUUAAACAAACACAAACUUAAUUGAAUAGAAAAGUAACAAAACUUGACAUAAAAAUAAAAGAAAUAAGAAAUAAAACUAUUAGCAGAAAUUGACAGCUAAACCAGUGAAAUCGACGUCCGAAUCAAUAAAAAUGACUGCCAAACGGUGAAAUUGAUGGCUUAAGCAGUGAAUCGAUAGCUAAAAUCAGUGAUUUAAACUGAUCUUCGUCCAAUACACACACAUGCAUGCCUAAAAUCAAUGAAAUCAAUGGCUAAAUCAGCAAAAUCGAAACCUAAAUCAGUGAAAUUCACGGCUAAAAUCAGUGAUUUAAACUGAUAUCCAUCCAAUACACACACGCACGCCUUAAAUCAGUGAAAUCAACGGUAUUUUGGAAGGAAUUACACGAACGACUUGAAGCGAGUAUUUAUCAGAAAAGGGUGAUUUACCUUAAACGAGUUGAAAUUUGAUCUCCUUACAUUAUUGUAAACUCAAUAAUGAAUACUGAUUUGGGGAAUCGAUUAGGGCCGUCUGUUUAGUGAGAAAGAGAUAGAAGGUGUAUAGAGAGAGAAGGUGUACAGACGCGUCUGUUUAGAAAGAGAGAGAAGGGCUUUAAGAGUUUUGAAUGAAUUUACUGUAUCUGAAUAUGUUUAGGG
rnacentral:lncRNA from 1 species